UACGUAGGGUGCGAGCGUUGUCCGGAAUCACUGGGCGUAAAGGGCGCGUAGGUGGCGCGGGAAGUCAUCGGUGAAAGUUCAGGGCUCAACUCUGAAUCGGCCGGUGAUACUCUCGUGCUUGAGCACUGUAGAGGCAGGUGGAAUUCCGGGUGUAGCGGUGGAAUGCGUAGAGAUCCGGAAGAACACCGGUGGCGAAGGCGGUCUGCUGGGGUCGAACUGACGCUGAGGCGCGACAGCGUGGGGAGCAAACAGG
rnacentral:rRNA from 1 species